UCCAUCAUUCGAACAACACGCAAUGUAUUCCGCCAAAGGAAGCAGCGCACCGUACAAUGGCGAAAAACAAAAGAAGGAAUGUAACGCUAUUUCGGUGGAGCAUCUUGUUCUAUUCCCAUCAAUCUCCGGACAUGUCGGAAAUACAACGCUUUAUAUACUGGCUUCGAGUUAAAGCGGCUA